GGCACACCCUGCGGAAAAUAUGCUCUACAUUGGUGGUGACUCCUUCUCUGGCAUAAUUGUGCCAAUGAUUGUGUAACAAAUAUUGGAUGGUAAUGAAAAUGGAACUUUGCCUCUAAUGAAUCUCAAGGGAUAUGUAAUUGGGAACCCAGUGACAGAUUCAUUCAUUGAUGC